UUAUAGGAACACAAUGGUUAUGGAGCUGCCUGUGAAUAAAACAACUGGCUAUGCUGUUUGCUGUUAAAGUGCUCUGGAAUGCAAAAUGUUUGCAGGCUGCUAGAGGGCUUGACUACAGAGUGUAAUUGGAGGC